UUCCCCCAGGCCACGGGGAGGCAGACCCGGGAGGGGGUCGGGCGGUGGCGCAGCUCCGCAUCGAGCGAGGAGGUCUGCGGGCAGUCCAGCCCUGCCCGGACUCCCUCAGCCCCCCGCCGCGGCCGCUUUGGGAGUGGGGCGGGGAUGUGGACUGCCUUGGAAGGGGUGGCCCUGCCCCUGCCCUUCAUUGAGAGGGAGCCCAGGUGAUGGCUAUCAUGCCCCUUAAAGCCUGGCACAAGGUGAGCAUUGGAUCCCUCACAUGUGCCUUCAAGAGUUCUGAUUUGAAGGAAAUGGAGGAUGAGAGGGGAUACCCAGUUUGGAAACUUGCCCUGAUCUCACUUUUAGAAGGAGGGUAUUUGCCUUGGGGCCUGGAGACACAGGAUGAUCCGCCUGCAGAGAGGACCAAAAACAUCUGUAAAGAUGCUGAGACCAACAUUGACAACAAGCCCACAUCAACACAGGGAAUUUCUGAAGAAAGAGAGGUGAUGAUAUCAUGUAGACUGCCAAAGAGUUUCUCAAGAGCCUGACUUUCCAGAAACAUGUGAACUGGAGAAGCACCAAGAAAUCCCCACAGUGAAAGACAUUAAAAGAAAGGAUGAGAGAAUCCACUAUGCAAGGAAACCCUUCAGAUGUGAGGAGUGUGGGAGAUACUUCAUCUUUUUUUUCUUACUGUAUUCGACACCAGAGAAUCCACACUGGAGAGAAACCCUAUCCACAUGAGGAGUGUGGGAAAUCCUUCAAUGGCAAUUCUUCAUUAAUUCAGCAUCAGAGAAUCCACACUGGAGAGAAACCCUAUCAGUGUGAGGGGUGUGGGAGAGCCUUUAUUAACAGUGAAAGUCUGAUCAGGCAUCAGAGAGUCCACAGUGGGGACAGACCCAAUCUCUGCAAGAGGUGUGGAAAUGGCUUCCCUAGUAGUUCUGAACCUUGUUAUACAUCAGAGAAUCCACACGGGAGAGAAACCCUAUGAAUGUAAUGAGUGCAGCAAGCUUUUGCUGUUAAGUCAACAUUAAGUCGGCAUCAGAGAAUCCACAGUGGAGAAAAACCAUAUGAGUGUAGCAAGUGUGGGAAAACCUUUAGGACUUCCUCCCAGCUACAUCAUCUUGGGUAUGCCCACCCUAGAAAGAAGCCUGUCCUGGACCUUGGUUCUUUUGGCCUCCCAGCAUUUUUUACCCCAUUUUCAUGGUAAUUACUGCCCUACUUUUUGGGGAAAUACCACUCUGCCCCAACACAACAGUUUAUAUGGUUUGGGUGGGGCUCUAUUCCCUACUGAAAAGGUGGAACAUGUAGCCUAGUCUGGCCCAUCUGUACUGUUCCUUCCACCCACCACAAUGGUGGGUUCAGGUGACCCAAGUUCAUCCAAUCAGAAUGGACCCUUUGACUGUGCAAAACCUACCACGAAGUGACAUUCUUUUCUGCUGGACAUGGAUGUGAGCCUUGACCCACGUGAAGGCUGAGAAGAAAGCCAGCCCUGCAAACAGAGAUGGAGAGAACUAAA